UACGGAGGGAGCUAGCGUUGUUCGGAAUUACUGGGCGUAAAGGGCUCGUAGGCGGCCAACUAAGUCAUACGUGAAAUCCCUCGGCUUAACCGGGGAACUGCGUCUGAUACUGGAUGGCUUGAGAUUGGGAGAGGGAUGCGGAAUUCCAGGUGUAGCGGUGAAAUGCGUAGAUAUCUGAAGGAACACCGGUGGCGAAGGCGGCAUCCUGGACCAACACUGACGCUGAGGAGCGAAAGCCAGGGGGAGCAAACGGGG
rnacentral:rRNA from 1 species